rnacentral:rRNA from 1 species
GACGAACGCUGGCGGCGUGCUUAACACGGGCAAGGCGAACGGAAAGGCCCUGCUUUUGUGGGGUGCGCGAGUGGCGAACGGGUGUGUAACACGAGAGUAACCUGCCCUGUACUUUGUGAUAACGUCGCGAAACUGGGGCUAAUACCGGAUAGGAGCUCCUGCUGCAAGGUGGGGGUAGGAAAGAUUCGGCGGUUGGGGAUGGACUCGCGGCUUAUCAGCUUGUUGGUGGGGUAGUGGCUUACCAAGGCUUUGACGGGUAGCCGGCCUGAGAGGGUGACCGGCCACAUUGGGACUGAGAUCAGGCCCAGACUCCUCCGCGCGCCAGCAGUCGGGAAUAUUGCCCUAUGGGAGGAAGCACGAUGAAGCAAAGCGGCGUGUGGUAUCACGGCAUUCGGGUUGUAAAACGCUUUAGACUGAGACGAAGCGUGAGUGCCGGUACUGGGUAAAGCAGCACCGGCUAACUACGUG